UUGCCCCUAUAGAGUUGACAUUUGGGAUGGGGGGAGGCAGACAACUAAAAAACAUAAGUAAAAUAAUAUGUUAGCUAGAAUAGGAACAUGAUUGUUGGAUGGGGAAGAUUCAGGGGCUGUGGGUUGGAAUUUUAAACAGGGUAGUGACAGGGUUCCAGAUACAUCACCUCAGAAUGGCACUCCCUCAUACGGAAUAGUGUAAGCUGAAGGAAUUUGUGAAAUGGCAGGUGCUGGAAGGACUCUAUGACCCCCCCGGCCCCCCGCCCCCAAAGCAGGUCGUAAAGCCCGCUUGGGAGAGGUGCCCUCCCCUUACCUGGAAGAAAGUAACAUCCUUCUCUCUGAAGACACCAGGACUCAGCAAGGAAUCCAAACAAACAGCUGUGGGUAAGUUCCCCCAGUUCACCACCCUUAGCUGGUACCCUUUGUCCUACCGGUCUUCAUCGAACCCAGAGUAAGAAAACACUCCGGCUUAACCUUGUUUGGGGGCGUCAUUUGUUUCUGAAGGCUAAUUUGCGUGCUCUUCUCUUGUCAAUCUGCCUUUUGUUACGGAGACCCAGCUGAGCACCUGGAAAGGGCAGAAGGGACCAGCAGUGGUCUGGAGAAGGCCUCCCAGAGAAGAUGAGAUUUGAGCAAAGUCUGAAGGGAGGUGAUGGAAACGCCAUGUAGAAAUCUGGGGGAAGGCAGCUCCAAGCAGAGAGAACAAUAAAGAGGAACACUGUGGUUUUUCUUAUCUUCUUGGAAUGGAGUGCUUCAAGCAGGCCCGAAAUCAACCCACUGAAUAUGUACUUAUAAAUACACGUAUUUCAACAAACUGCUGUGUGUUUAUGCUCAAAUCUAUACACCCAGGCACAGUGCUUGGCAUCCAGGUACAAGGUCGACUGAGGCAUGUUCUCUGUGCUCAGAAGCUCGCAGUCAGUGAGGGAAAAACAGAAGCUGAUGACUACAAUUCAUUGUUGGAAAUGCAAUUAUGGCCUUAUGUUGGGAUAUUACUUAUAUUA